rnacentral:rRNA from 1 species
AAAGACUUGACGGUACCUCACAACAACCUAGAGGAGCCUGCCUAAUAACCGACACCCCACGAUUAACCCAACCCGCUCUAGCCUAACAGUCUAUAUACCACCGUCGCCAGCCUACCUUGUGAAAGAAACAAAGUGGGCACAACAAGCGCCCCCUAAAACGACAGGUCGAGGUGUAACCCAUGAGUGGGUAGUAGGUGGGCUACAUUUUCUAACAUAGAAAAUACGAACAAACCAUGAAACUAGAAACUGAAGGUGGAUUUAGCAGUACGUUAAGAAUAGAACACCUA